GCGGGUGUAGCUCAAUGGUAGAGCACUGGCCUUCCAAGCCAGGUACGGGGGUUCGAUUCCCCUCACCCGCUCCA
rnacentral:tRNA from 1 species